GUUGGGUGAAGGAAGGAUUUUGUCUUCGCUUUCUGUUAGUCCACACUUGCUGCCAGACGAGGGAGCAGUCUCAUGUCUUGUCAACAGCAUUACUGUCGAUACAGCUCCACAAGUAUACAGUGACUGUCCGUGAUGACAAAUAAAAUAGAAGAAACUGGAAAUGAUGUACAGGUGGGGAACACUUAACAACAAAUGACAGAAGAACCAGUCACAUGAGGAAAAUGAAAGAUUGAGGGUACAUAAGGUUACAAGCAGAUUGGAUAUCUGGCCGGAGAACUUGCCUGCUUUGAUUUUGUCUCUUCUCCUCCAAAUCAUUCAGAUGAAGAAAAGAUGACCAACAGGACAUUCACAGGUGUUAUGAGGGCUAAGUUCAGUACAGUCAGUUCUCCUACAAUGCCAUAGUUGCAUUCCAGUGAAACCUCACUUAAUAGAAAAUUACUUAAUAUAAAUAAUGGGGCCUAUGGGAACAGUGGGGUUAGGGGCAGAACAGCAAGAAAUAUCACUCACUUUCGUUCAAAAAUUAGCCAAAAGUUUUUUAGAUUAGAUUAGAUUAGAUUAGAUUACAGUGUGGAAACAGGCCCUUCGGCCAACAAGUCCACA